rnacentral:rRNA from 1 species
AACGAGUUAUCUGAACCUUCGGGGRACGAUAACGGCGUCGAGGGCGGACGGGUGAGUAAUGCCUAGGAAAUUGCCCUGRUGUGGGGKAUAACCAUUGGAAACGAUGGCUAAUACCGCAUAAUACCUACGGGUCAAAGAGGGGGACCUUCGGGCCUCUCGCGUCAGGAUAUGCCUAGGUGGGAUUAGCUAGUUGGUGAGGUAAUGGCUCACCAAGGCGACGAUCCCUAGCUGGYCUGAGAGGAUGAUCAGCCACACUGGAACUGAGACAC